rnacentral:rRNA from 1 species
GAUGAACGCUGGCGGCGUGCCUAAUACAUGCAAGUAGAACGCUGAAGGAGGAGCUUGCUCUUCUGGAUGAGUUGCGAACGGGUGAGUAACGCGUAGGUAACCUGCCUGGUAGCGGGGGAUAACUAUUGGAAACGAUAGCUAAUACCGCAUGACAACAGUUAUUGCAUGAUAACUGUUUAAAAGGGGCAACUGCUCCACUACCAGAUGGACCUGCGUUGUAUUAGCUAGUUGGUGAGGUAACGGCUCACCAAGGCGACGAUACAUAGCCGGCCUGAGAGGGUGAUCGGCCACACUGGGACUGAGACACGGCCCAGACUCCUACGGGAGGCAGCAGUAGGGAAUCUUCGGCAAUGGACGGAAGUCUGACCGAGCAACGCCGCGUGAGUGAAGAAGGGUUUCGGAUCGUAAAGCUCUGUUGUAAGAGAAGAACGAGUGUGAGAGUGGAAAGUUCACACUGUGACGGUAUCUUACCAGAAAGGGACGGCUAACUACGUG